GAACACCAAUAAUCAGUAGAUCCUCUUAUGCUCCGAAUCCUCUAAACUCGACCCUCACAUUCUUCUCACCGAUCCCUUCAUUGCAGGCACUUGCCUGAGUGUGCCUCGGCGUUGAGGACAAGUUCUUGCUGCUCUUACUAUCCCAAAGCCACUGAGUCUCUGAGGUUAAUGUUGAAGUAUUGUGCUACUUAUACUAGUGUGUAUUGGAGAAACGCUGGUGAAAACCAACCGGAUGAUCAAGUCCCCGAAUAUGGAAUUCGCGUCGAUUUUGAUAUUCCGGUGACCACCCGUUGCCUUCAGUGUCAGGACACAUCUAAAGGAUGCAGAUCAUAGCUUUUCUCAGCAUAGGAGGAAUGGAGUACUUGCAGGGACGAUUAGUGGAGUGACAGUUGCAAGAGCCUUUGGAGUUGGAGCUGGAAUUUGGUACAUGAAAAAAUUGAGAGCUAAAGCACCAGUAACAUGUGGGUUCAGAGCAAUGAGAAUAGGCUUUUCUAAAGGCACUAACCAAAUUACUUGAUGCCUUGGAGCUGAGCAGGCUAACUAUGAAGCAAAAUCUCGAUGUCCAGUCUUCAAAUCCCGAUGCCAUCACUUGAUCUUGCUCCAUCUUUGACCUCCUAGCCACUUUUUGCCCAGCCGAUACCCAGUAACUUGAUGUAUCAAACCUAGAAGAUAGUUAUUGUAGUUUUUUCUAUUUUUGUUCGGACAUCUUGUAUGUACAUUUUCAUAUAUUUUAUAAUUAAAUACUUUUUCUUGGUUUA